rnacentral:lncRNA from 1 species
UGAAUUUCAGGCGGUUUGACCAGACACUUAGGAAGGUCUCGCUUGAAGCUGAGGAAAAUCUCAUCUUGCUUUAUCUUGAAAGCUGAACUCCUGAGCUCCUUCGGCAUCAACAUUUCAGUGCUGUCCUCCCGAAGGUGAAAUCCAGUCUGUGCUGCUGGAAAGCUACAUAAACUGUAUUUCUCAAAAGCCCAGUUUUGUAUCCUCUGUUAAGGUUCUACCAACCUUCAUUGUAUUUCAUUUUUGAACAAUUGAGUGAUAUAAUUCAGCUCUAUUUAAUUUUAACCAUCUCUUUCAGGUUUUCACGACCGUUCCUUUACCCUGUUGCUGCAGCAAACGCAGAUCCAAAUGCCGUGGCUACGAAGGCUUGUUACUUUCUCAUGCUGGAUCCCUCAAAUCCAAGAGCUACUUGGCAGUUUCCAAGGCAACCACCUGUGGAAUAAUUAAAAGGAUGAAGUGCUAGUGUGCCAGAUAUAAGGAUUUCUUGCCUGGAGUGAGCGCUUCAUUUUCAUCUGUCUCGAAGAACCAAAUGUGUGUCUGCCAGCAAAGUUAAGAAGAAGAGAUGGUGACUGAGCUGUACAAGCAAACCGGGACAACCCAAAAAGUGACUCAAAGCAGGAGCCAGCAGAUGGUCGCGUCGUUAGCCGGUGGCCACAGCCUCGCCAGAGGAGUUUUGGAAUUCCCAUCAAAGUCGGGAUUAAGCUCAGGAUAUGCCAGUGGCACAGAGGGAGCCCUGGGGGAGCGUGGAAGAAGAGGAAAUCAUUCCCUGCGACUCAUCUUGCGGUUGGGUGCUGAUCUCCUGAGAGCGCCGCGCGUGUGCCAAAGGAAGAACACGUUGUUUGAGGGAAAACCUAUUUAUAAACACGUGCAAACUGAAAGGUAAAUCAUUUCUGUAAAUUGAUUGAUGAAAUAUGCUCUCUGCAUUGGUUAUGUGUCCCGAUGUAGUGUAAAUACACCUGACAUCUAUUACGUUUGUCGCUGUGCAGCACCACUAGGUAGGCAGUGGGUAUCUUUUAAAAAUUCCAUUUCUAAUUCUCUGCUUCUUCACCAUAACAAAGAAAGGUUCAAAGGUGGCGUGUUUUUCUCUGAAAAUAUUUUUGGCUUGGGUUUGGAGGUUUUUUUGCAGCGAUAUACGUGAUGGGGAGGAGUAAAGAAUAUUUGCCUUCAGCUAAAAGAGCCUCUGCAGUCUGUUUGUCAGGCGUGGGAAUUCAGUGGGGAUUAAAAACAAUCACACGUGGAGCUGAUUGAAUUUCCUAUCCCUCUUAAUUGCUACCUUUUUUUUUUUUUUUCCUAUGUGAUGAUUUUAAUUUCACUUCCUCCG